GGUUGGUUGGUGUAGUUGGUUAUCACGUGCCCUUCACAGGCGAAUGUUUUCUUCGACCUCUGGAACCGGGCAAGGUCGCGAGUUCGAGCCUCGCACCGAUCA
rnacentral:tRNA from 1 species